rnacentral:ncRNA from 1 species
GAGAGCACAGUACGAUGAAUGUUGUAAACUGUGUUCGGGGGGAAGUUAUUGUCUAUCGUUGGCCUCUAUGGUAGAAUCAGUCGGGGGACCUGAGAGGCGGUGGUUUACCCUGC